UACGAAGGGGGCUAGCGUUGUUCGGAAUGACUGGGCGUAAAGGGCGCGUAGGCGGCUGUGUCAGUCAGAUGUGAAAUUCCUGGGCUCAACCUGGGGGCUGCAUUUGAUACGUGAUGGCUGGAGUGGGGAAGAGGGUCGUGGAAUUCCCAGUGUAGAGGUGAAAUUCGUAGAUAUUGGGAAGAACACCGGUGGCGAAGGCGGCGACCUGGUCCUUGACUGACGCUGAGGCGCGAAAGCGUGGGGAGCGAACAGG
rnacentral:rRNA from 1 species